GUCAGCCGCCGCGGUAAAACCAGCACCUCAAGUGGUCAGGAUGAUUAUUGGGCCUAAAGCAUCCGUAGCCGGCUCUGUAAGUUUUCGGUUAAAUCUGUACGCUCAACGUACAGGCUGCCGGGAAUACUGCAGAACUAGGGAGUGGGAGAGGUAGACGGUACUCGGUAGGAAGUGGUAAAAUGCUUUGAUCUAUCGAUGACCACCUGUGGCGAAGGCGGUCUACCAGAACACGUCCGACGGUGAGGGAUGAAAGCUGGGGGAGCAAACCGGAUUAGAUACCCGGGUAGUCCCAGCUGUAAACUAUGCAAACUCAGUGAUGCAUUGGCUUGUGGCCAAUGCAGUGCUGCAGGGAAGCCGUUAAGUUUGCCGCCUGGGAAGUACGUACGCAAGUAUGAAACUUAAAGGAAUUGGCGGGGGAGCACCACAAGGGGUGAAGCCUGCGGUUCAAUUGGAGUCAACGCCAGAAAUCUUACCCGGAGAGACAGCAGAAUGAAGGUCAAGCUGAAGACUUUACCAGACAAGCUGAGAGGUGGUGCAUGGCCGUCGCCAGCUCGUGCCGUGAGAUGUCCUGUUAAGUCAGGUAACGAGCGAGAUCCCUGCCUCUAGUUGCCACCAUUACUCUCAGGAGUAGUGGGGCGAAUUAGCGGGACCGCCGCAGUUAAUGCGGAGGAAGGAAGGGGCCACGGCAGGUCAGUAUGCCCCGAAACUCUGGGGCCACACGCGGGCUGCAAUGGUAACGACAAUUGGUUUCGAAUCCGAAAGGAUGAGGUAAUCCUCAAACGUUACCACAGUUAUGACUGAGGGCUGCAACUCGCCCUCACGAAUAUGGAAUCCCUAGUAACUGCGUGUCAUUAUCGCGCGGUGAAUACGUCCCUGCUCCUUGCACACACCGCCCGUCGUUUCAUUGAAGUGAGCUUUUAGCGAGGUGACGUCUAAU
rnacentral:rRNA from 1 species